UACGAAGGGGGCUAGCGUUGCUCGGAAUCACUGGGCGUAAAGGGCGCGUAGGCGGCGUUUUUAAGUCAGGGGUGAAAUCCUGGAGCUCAACUCCAGAACUGCCUUUGAUACUGAGGACCUUGAGUUCGGGAGAGGUGAGUGGAACUGCGAGUGUAGAGGUGAAAUUCGUAGAUAUUCGCAAGAACACCAGUGGCGAAGGCGGCUCACUGGCCCGAUACUGACGCUGAGGUGCGAAAGCGUGGGGAGCAAACAGG
rnacentral:rRNA from 1 species